rnacentral:lncRNA from 1 species
AGAGAAAUAUUAGAUUUUUCCUCAGUGUGUCAUAGAAGAGGCAAUUAUUUGUCGUCUUUUGAGCUCACAGGCAUAAAGAAAAAGUCAAGAAGUGAUGGAUUGCCAGCUAUCCCUGUCCUACUCAAUAUAUUUUGGUGGUCUUCAUCAGAUGCAGAAAGGACCAGCUUUGACCACUCUCCGCAACUUUUCGUGCUUCGAGCUGAGGGAGACACCACACUUCUCAUGAAAAGUGGAAGUAGAGCAGCCAGUGUUACAAGAAGUAAUUUCCUCUUCUUUCCAAGGUCCUCUGGGAGGAAUUUUGCAGGAAUGCAGAUUAAUACACAUCAUAAUGCACGUGAUGUAAGCUGAAAAAUUAUGUGCAGCACCCAACACAAUAUCCUGUGUUUAAGCUUCAGAAGAAAUUUUACUAUGUGGCCCAAGAAGUUCUCCAAGACU